rnacentral:lncRNA from 1 species
CGGGGCCCUUGAGGUCGCCUUCCACUUUGGGCAGAGAAAUGUCCAUGUCGCCCUUCACCUUUGGACCUUUCAGAUUCAGGUCAACUUCAGGCAUGGAGAUCUUGGGGGCUUUGAUGUUCAUCUCAGGCAUCUUGAAUUUAGGGCCCUUUAGUUUCGCAUCUGGACCUUCGAUAUUCACAUCAGGAACAUCAAUGUCCACCUUGGGUCCUGAGACGUCAAGGUCAGCCUUGGGCAGGUUCACAUCCACAUCUGGGCCCUCUCCUUUGAAGCCAGGCAUGCUGAACUUGGGCAUUUUCACCUUGGGCAUCUUCAGGUGCCAGUCUGGGCCUUGAA